AUUGAACGCUGGCGGCAGGCCUAACACAUGCAAGUCGAGCGAGCGGCGGACGGGUGAGUAAUGUAUGGGGACUGCCCGAUAGAGGGGGAUAACUACUGGAAACGGUAGCUAAUACCGCAUACUAUCGGAUAACCCAUAUGGGAUUAGCUAGUAGGUGAGGUAAUGGCUCACCUAGGCGACGAUCCCUCGCUGGUCUGAGAGGAUGAUCAGCCAAACGGGGAUGGGAACACGGCCCAGACCCCUACGGGAGGAGCAGUGGGGAAUAUUGCACAAGGGGCGCAAGCCUGAUGCAGCCAUGCCGCGGGUAUGAAGAAGGCCCUAGGGUUGUAAAGUACUUUCAGUCGGGAGGCGUUACCGACAGAAGAAGCACCGGCUAACUCCGUGCCAGCAGCCGCGGUAAUAC
rnacentral:rRNA from 1 species